UGCGGGGUCGUCUAAUGGUAGGACUAGAGAUUUUGGAUCUCUGUAUCUAGGUUCGAAUCCUAGCCCCGCAG
rnacentral:tRNA from 1 species